AAAACUCAUCGUUUUACUCGAACGUCAACCAGUUGAACGAGUUGAAUGAAGUAGAAAUAGAAGAAGAAGAAGUAGAAGAAGAAGAAGAAGAAGAAGAAGAAGAGAAGAAGAAGAAGAAGAGAAGAAGAAGAAGACAGACGGGUCGCUCUCUAUUCCCCAUCACCAAAUCGGCUGACUCUUCGCGUUCAACACUGCCACUUUAUUACCGUGGGUCUACCGCAGCAAAGCCAUAGGGAAUGGAUGAAUGAAAGGAGAGGAUCUACCCACACACAGAUGUCUGUUAUAAAAUCGU
rnacentral:lncRNA from 1 species